rnacentral:lncRNA from 1 species
GUUGGAAAAUCCCACUUUACUUCAAGUGAAGUCACUGGGUUGUCCCCAUGAAAUAUCUCCACAAUGGGUGUGCUAGACCUUUACUCUCUGUGGCACCACCAAGACCCCCUCACCCUGCCAGAGCCCUCUGAAGUGUACUCAGAAUGGAGGGGCUGGAAGUGGGGCCAGUGGUCCUGGUAGUCAGCCUCCCCUUCUGACACAAGAAUUAUCGUGGAACAGCUUGUGUGACCGAUCAACUGGUCUCUCCAUCUUUAAGCCAUUGUCUUGUUGACUCUGUUACUGCAGAGUUUGGGGAGGUCUCAUGGCUUCUCGCAUCCUAUUUCCUGAGCUUCCCUGAAGCCAACUUCUGGCCACUGGUAUGUGAUGCGAGCACAGUGCCUCCUCCUGCUCCUCCAGGAAGCUUCUGCUGAUUGAACGCAGGCCAGAUGGCGAGAUCCGGAGCAACCUUCUUAGAUCAAGGGAAGAAAGGGGCACAAGAGGGGAGUAGGUAACAAGAUAAAAGGAGCUCCCUCCCUGAUGACUACAGAGCCAUCGUGGCAGCCCUGGGCCUCCAUUUCAGACGUUCAUCUUGCCUAAGCCACCACCAUCAGGGUCUCAGUCAGUCAUCAUUCUCAUUUACUCGGGUGGCUGGGUGAGGGCGGAAUACUACCUUCCAGCUGUCUGAGAUUAAGCCUAAGCCACCACCAUCAGGGUCUCAGUCAGUCAUCAUUCUCAUUUACUCGGGUGGCUGGGCGAGGGCGGAAUACUACCUUCCAGCUGUCUGAGAUUAAGCAGAACAGCAGCUAAAGCAGUAACAGCAGGUCUCCUUCAGCAGCUUGCCACAGGGAAGAGGGUCCCGCGUGAACCGAACUCAACUUCCACCUGCGCAGAGGUAGCUACCAUUUGCGUAGAGGUAGCUGGGUCUUUAAGGUUAGAGGGAAGGCGCAGGGAGGGAGAGACGGCGGGUGGGGGUUGAACAAAGUGGAGAUUCACAAAAGCAGACUAGGGCGGGCGACGUGAUCAGAUGACCUGUGCGGGCGGCAGCCUCCUGCCCUCCUCCCCUUCGUGCGCCGGCUGGAGCGAAGAGUUCUUUUGACAGCCGUGAGCUUCCCCGCCAGGAACUUACUGGGGCUGCAUCACCCUAGAAACGUGGCUUUGGGCUGUGGAAACGCUGCCUCUGUGGAAGUCUCUCCUCGCGGGGGUGGACGGGUCGCUGCGCGCCCAGCGUUCUUCUGCGGUUCUCACAGCCCGCCGCCGCCGCCGCCUCGGGGACCUUUGCGGGGAGGCCUCAGGGCACCUUCCUCCUCUCUCUCAGGCACGUCCUCGACCUCAGUUGCCACGUGCACAUGCUGGUGCCUUCCAGGCUGGAGUAUAGUGGCAUGAUCAUAGAUCACUGCAGCCUCAAACUCCUGGGCUCAAGCGAUCCUCCCACCUCAGCCUCCAUAUAGCUGGUGGGGACCAAGUUUCUAACACAUGAAUGUUGGGAGACACAUUCAGACCAUCGCAGUGGCCUUAUAAAAAGAGACACAAGAGCUUGCUCUCUGCCAUGUGAGAAUACCACAAGAAGACUGUCCUCAGCAAAUCAGAAAGCGGGUGGACCCUCAUCAGACACCAGAUGUGCCUGCACCUUGAUCUUGGACUUGCCAGCCUUCAGAACAGUAAGAAAGAAAUGUGUGUUGUUUAAGCCACCCAGUCUAUGGUAACUUGCUAUAGCAGCCCACUAGGAGACCCCAAGAUAUUUAAAAACUCAUCAGCACCUGCUUUCUGCAUCUGGACCCUGAUCUUCUGGUGGGUUUACCAGUUACUUGUAGAGUGUCCCUGUGAUAGUUUUAGGUGUCAACUUGACAGGAUUGAGGGAUGCCUAGAUGGCUGGGGAAGCACUGUUUCUGAGAAGGACCAUGUUUUUGGAGGAGACUGUUUUAUGAGUGAAUUUCAGGGGACACAUUCAGAUCAUGGCAGUGGCAUUAUAAAGAGAGACACAAAAGCUUGCUCUCUCUCUCUGCCAUGUAAGACUACCACACAAAGACUGCCAUCUGCAAACCAGAAGCAGGUGGGCUUUCCUCAGACACCAGAUCUGCCUGCACCUUGAUCUUGGACUUGCCAGCCUUCAGAACUCUAAGAAAGAAAUGGUAGCAUGGCUUGGUCUAAGUUGGAAGGCCUGAGAAACAAGCACAUGGUGGAACUGAGUUCAAGGAUAAAGACUUGAGAAUACCUGCUCAGUGGACUGAGUAGGGAAGAUCAACCCUCAAUGUAGGCAGGCACUAUCCAAUCACCUGAGGGCCCAGAUGGAACAAAAAGGUGGAAGAAGGGUGAAUUCUCUCUUCCAGAGCUGUGACACCCUUCUCAUGCCCUUGUACCACACAACUCUAGGUCCUUUGGCCUUUGGACUCUGACACUUGCACCAGUGGCCCUCUGGGGCUCUCAAGCCUUUAGCCUUGAACUUAGUUACACCAUGUGCCUCCUUGUUUCUCAGGCCUUCCAACUUGGAUCAGGCCAUGCCACCGGCUUCUCUGAUUCUCCAGCUUGCAGAUGGUAUAUUGUGACCCUGGCAUUUAAUAACUAUGACUUUGGUCUUAAGCAAUUUUCUUCCUCUGUGGAUUGAUAUUUACAUAUCAAUGUGGAUAAUAAUUUCUUACCACGGUAACUGUUGUGAGGUAAAAAUGAGUUAACAUAAGUAAAACCGAGCACAUGCAAACCAUCCGAAAUGGUUAAUACUUACUAUUUGUACUUGAAGAAAUAAAUGUUUUUGACAAUAAACUUCUUGUGCAGUUUUCCUC